rnacentral:pre_miRNA from 1 species
UAUGAUGUUUUGAUUCUUCGUUUUAUUUGAAAUUUUUUUGCGAUUAAUGUUUUUAUUGUUACUGGAUGAUAAAACAUGAAUAGUAUUUUAUGCGGGACUAUUUUUUUAAGUUUUUGUGCAGAAUUUUCAAAUAAAACGAAUGGUCAAACGUUAGACACGGAAAUUUA